rnacentral:rRNA from 1 species
CCUACGGGUGGCAGCAGUGAGGAAUAUUGGUCAAUGGACGGAAGUCUGAACCAGCCACGCCGCGUGCAGGAAGACGGCUCUAUGAGUUGUAAACUGCUUUUGUACAAGGGUAAAUCUGAAUACGUGUAUUUUGCUGCAAGUACUGUACGAAUAAGGAUCGGCUAACUACGUGCCGUCAGCCGCGGUAAUACGGUGGAUCCAAGCGUUAUCCGGAUUUAUUGGGUUUAAAGGGAGCGUAGGCGGAUGGAUAAGUUAGAUGUGAAAUGUCGGGGCUUAACAUGAGAACUGCCUCUCAUACUGGGGGACUAGAGUGUAGAAGAGGUAGGCGGAAUGUAUGGUGUAGCGGUGAAAUGCUUAGAUAUCAGACAGAACACCGAUUGCGAAGGCAGCUUACCGGUCUAUAUCUGACGUUGAGGCACGAAAGCGUGGGGAGCGAACAGGAUUAGAUACCCCAGUAGUC